ensembl:miRNA
CCUGUCACUUUAACAAUAUGUUUGAUAAUUACCCUUUUACUGUUGUUCUGAGUGGCUGUGA